AUGGGGAUGGGAACAGCUCAGCCCUUGACCCAAACCCUGACUCUUGGAACCCAAAUUGUGACCCUUGGACUGACCCAUCCUCCUGCUCCUGUGCUCCUGGUGAUCCUCCCAGUCCGGGCGGCCGUGACCCUGCUGGAGUCCGGGGGGGACCUCCAGCCCCCCGGGGGGUCCCUGCGCCUCCUCUGCCGCGGCUCCGGCUUCGAUUUCGGGAAGUUUGGGGUGGGCUGGAUGCGCCAGAGACCCGGGCAGGGGCUGGAAUAUCUCACAGCGAUCGACAGCAGUGGUGCUUCCACCGUGUACGCGCCAUCGGUCAGGGGCCGGUUCAGGAUCUCCAGGGACAACGGGCAGAGAUCGGUGACGCUGACCAUGAGCAGCCUCAAGGACGAGGAUUCCGGAUCCUAUUUCUGCGGGAAAUGUUUUGCCGCUGGUUAUCCUAAUGCUUAUGGUAGCCCGGCCCCGCUGAGCCCAGGCGCCUUUCAGGAGCUGCGAGAGCCACGGGGGCAGCCCCGAGUCGCCUUCUCCCCAGGCUGA